rnacentral:rRNA from 1 species
CCUACGGGAGGCAGCAGUGAGGAAUAUUGGUCAAUGGGCGCGAGCCGGAACCAGCCAAGUAGCGUGAAGGAUGACUGCCCUACGGGUUGUAAACUUCUUUUAUAAAGGAAUAAAGUGAGGCACGUGUGCCUUUUUGCAUGUACCUUAUGAAUAAGGAUCGGCUAACUCCGUGCCAGCAGCCGCGGUAAUACGGAGGAUCCGAGCGUUAUCCGGAUUUAUUGGGUUUAAAGGGUGCGUAGGUGGGUUGUUAAGUCAGUUGUGAAAGUUUGCGGCUCAACCGUAAAAUUGCAGUUGAUACUGGCAGUCUUGAGUACGGUUGAGGUAGGCGGAAUUCGUGGUGUAGCGGUGAAAUGCUUAGAUAUCACGAAGAACUCCGAUUGCGAAGGCAGCUUACUAAACUGCAACUGACGUUGAUGCUCGAAAGUGUGGGUAUCAAACAGGAUUAGAUACCCCUGUAGUC